rnacentral:tRNA from 1 species
GCGGAUGUGGCGGAACUGGCAGACGCGCUGGACUUAGAAUCCAGUGGGUGACCAUGUGGGUUCAAAUCCCUCCAUCCGCA